GACGAACGCUGGCGGCGUGCCUAAUACAUGCAAGUCGAGCGAACCGAUAGAGAGCUUGCUUUCUUGAGGUUAGCGGCGGACGGGUGAGUAACACGUAGGGAACCUGCCCCUAAGACGAGGAUAACUACCUGAAACGGUAGCUAAUACUGGAUAGGAUAAGUUGACGCAUGUUGGCUUAUUUAAAGGUGCCUAUAAAGCACCGCUUAGGGAUGGCCCCCUGC
rnacentral:rRNA from 1 species